rnacentral:rRNA from 1 species
UACGAAGGGGGCUAGCGUUGCUCGGAAUCACUGGGCGUAAAGCGCACGUAGGCGGACUCUUAAGUCGGUGGUGAAAUCCUGGAGCUCAACUCCAGAACUGCCUUUGAUACUGGCAACCUAGAGACUGGAAGAGGUUAGUGGAAUUCCCAGUGUAGAGGUGAAAUUCGUAGAUAUUGGGAAGAACACCAGUGGCGAAGGCGGCUAACUGGUCCAGUACUGACGCUGAGGUGCGAAAGCGUGGGGAGCAAACAGG